UGACGCUCGGGAGCCGGAGUCCCCACCUGAGCUUUUGGUGCACUCCUGCUCUGCGGUGAGGAUGAACCCGUCACGUUUUGGUGAGAAUGAAAUCCUACCUCGGCAGGAACGGAUGCGUUCUUUUCCAGGAAGCUGGAUUUCUCUCAGGCAGCCCUAUAUUGUAUCAGAGUGACCCCGAGCAGGUUCCUGGUUUCUCUGAGCUUCCUCAUUUGCACAAUGAAUGAAGUAGUUGUGAGGCUUGUAGGAGAUGACGUGGACUUUGGUGACGUUUAUCUGGGAGAAAGCUGUUCUGCCACCUAGAGCUGUCCAGGGCAGAAUGAAGCAGAAACACAUCCACUCUCAAUCCUUCAACUCUGCUUCUUCCUAUGGUGAUUAUUAGCAGAUGUGGCUGCUGUUUAUUGCAAGUGCUGGAGGCUGCUUCUUGGCCUCAUUGGCUGUCCAUACUCAUGACAACUCCAGCCCCAGUAUUUCUUGAGAGUUCUUGCUGUACCCGUGAACUGUGGGGGCCACCUGAAUAUACUUCACGGACCCCAUGAAAAUGCCUUUGGAUUUGCCAAGAUGACCUCCUCCACCUGGAGCAUUGUGAUCAUUCACACCAUCAGCUCUGUAAGAGAAUCGCAGUCCUGCAGUGUAUUGUAAAAGUUGGGAAUCUGUUUGCUGAGAAACUGCAUCUUAGUGCAAUAUUUUUUUAGACAUCUUAUUUAUUUGUUCAUGAGAGACACAGAGAGAGGCAGAGAUAUAGGCAGAGGGAGAAGCAAGACUCCAUCCCAGGACCGCAGGAAUCAUGUCCUGAGCCAAAGGCAGAUACUCAACCACUGAGCCACCCAGAUACCCCUCAUUGUAAUUUUUAUAACUAGUUUUCUUCUCAUGGGUUAGGUUGGGCAUUCUUUCAUAUGUGGAAGGGUUAUUCGCAUUGGUGUUUCAGUGAGCAGUCUAUAUCCUUUGCAUGGUGUUUUUUGUUUGUUUGUUUUUUGUUUUUUAAUUAAGUUUUUGCUUUUCCCCUCAAUUUCUAAGAGCUUUUUUGGUAUCUGAAGCUCAGUAUUCUGUCCCGGACAUAAUGAAAAUAUUUUCUCCCAGCUUAUUAAUAUUACUGUGUCUUUUGAUUUUUGAUGCUUAUUAUCCUAUGAAUCUGUCAUAUGCUUACAGGUGAAUUAAAAUCUCUCCCUGCUGUGGGUUGCGUCUGUUUCCCGUUCGGUCUCCUACAGUUUCCUUGGGAAUAUUGCUGCUGGGUAUUUAGAUCAUAACAAAGUGCCCUUCCUGUCAUUUCUAAUGGUUUGGGGGCAGAACUCUACUCUGUCUGACUUUCCUAUCAGGAGCACAGCUUCCUUUUAUUUGUAUACGCUUUGCUAUACUUUGCUCAUCUCUUUAACUGAAUUGAAUCACUUUUAUGAGGUGUGUCUCUUGUGCAUAGCAUAGAGUUGGGUUUUGCUUUGUGAUAAAAUCUGAAGAUCUUUCUCUUUUAUUACAUGAUUCAAUCCCAUUUUCAUUUAAUGAUUAAUGCAUACAUUUGGUAUUAGCUCUGUCCCAUUAUUUUCUGUUGUAUUUCAGUUUUUAGGGCAUUUUUUUAAAAGUCUUUAUAUCGUUUGUUUUCUUUGCUUUUUGUAUAGAGUUUACGUUUAAGGUAUGUAAUCUCAUUUUACUGGCUAUACUUGUAUAAAUAUAGUAUUUUUUGAAAGAUUUAUUUAUUAUUUGAGAGACAGAGAGAGAGAGUGUGAGGAGGGGCAGUGGGAGAGAAUCUUCAAGGGGACUCCCUGCUGAGCACAGAGCUGGAUGUGGGCUUCGAUCUCACCACUCUGAGAUCAUUACCCGAGCUAAAACCAAGAAUCAGCCACUUAACUGACAGAACCACCCAGGCACUCCUUGUAUAAAUUCAAUAUUACCCACUCUUUUACUCAUUAAUUUUUAGACAGCACUGAUGACAUUAGAACCUUCUCCCUCCCUCUUUUUCUUCUAUAACCUGAUUUUAUCAGUCAUAUAUUUUUCAGUGUUUACAUUUGAGCAGCAUUGUCCACUCGCUCAUGCAGACUUUCAGUGAUCACUAAGGGAUUGCCUGUCCCUCCCAUUCUCAUCUACGUGUGGCCCUCCAUCACAUGACCUCUGCAUCAGUGUGUGUAGUUUGCACAUUCCUCUCCUUGCCCUUUGUCACCCCCUUCAGUGCCAGUCUUGCAGCAUCGCAGCAGUGCUUUGGGUUGACUGUAAUUCCUCCUCUGAGAGUUCCCCAGGAAUGUCUCCUGGGGGUCAUGGUCUCUGAAUUUGUGCAACUUCAAAAAUGUUUGCUGUCUGUUCAUUUGAAGGAAAGCUUGGUUGGAAAUAAAGUUCUCAUGUCAUGGACUUGUUGUUACUCUGUUUUUAAUCUUAGAGUUCUUGCUCCACUGUCUUCAGAGUUACUGCUGCAUUGUCUUCAGGUAUCGAUCAUUGCUGUGAAGAAAUCAGAAGCCAGGGUACCUAGGGGGCUCAGUUGGGUAAGCAUCUGCCUGCAGCUCAAGUCAUGAUCCUGGUGUGCUGGGAUCAAGCGCAAUGUAGGGCUCCUUGCUUAGCAAGGAGUCUGCUUCUGCCCCUCCCCCUGCUUGUGCUUUCUUGCUCUCUCAUAGAUAGAUAGAUAGAUAGAUAGAUAGAUAGAUAGAUAAAACAAACCUUAAAAAAAAAAAGAGGAAAGAAAGAAAUCAGAAACUAGACCAUCCUUUUGCCCGCAAAGGAGUCUGUCUUUACCUUUAAGGCUGGGUAACCUCACUAGGAUGUGUGUGUCCCUUGAAGAUUCUCAUCAGCUUCUCAGACAUAGUGUGUGCUUUUCUCACUUAGAAUCAUGCAUGCUUUUACAUCAGGAAGUUUUUAAAAAGUUUUUAAAAUCAUAUUUUAAAAUCAUAUUCAAGUAUAUGCCCCGUUUUACCGUUCCUGUUAUUAUUGUCGUUACAAAUAGGGAGAGUCUAGCCACGCAGACUGUUUUAUGUUGUAGUCUUCAAUCUCUUUUAUCUUUUCUCUGAUUAUUCUAAACUUCCAGUCUCCAUUGUUCACUUUCCUCAUUACUACCUUCUAUUUCUCUACAUUUUUGUCGAUUAUCUCUUAUCCCUUGUAUAUCUUCCAAUUGAUCUUCAUUUCUGUAUGAUCUUCCCAUUUAUUUGUCUGUUUAAUCUUGCCAUUUCUUACUUAUGGUCUUGUGUUUCUCUUAUAGAGUCUUUCUUCAUUUACUUAGAGACUUUUUCUUUAGAAUUUUUUCCUAAGAACAAGAAUGUUCCUUAGUUAUUGGUAUUAAGUAAUCUCUAGUAUAUUUUAAGUGAAGAAAGCAACAGGCAGAGCUCUGUGUGACUGAUUAUAUAAAAAGGGAAAAAGAAAGAAGAAAUAUAAUUGUGCCUGCAUAUGCAUAAAAUAUUUCUGAUAUAAUAUUCAAGAAAUGGUGACAUUGUGGACCUCCACGUGGGAGGAAAUGCAUAUUCUGGAAACAUUGACAAAAGGGAGAAUUUUUUUUAAUUUUUCUGCCUCUGGUAACUUUGGAAUUUUGAACCAUAUGAAUGUAUGAUCUCUUCAAGUGAAAUGAACUUGAUACAAAUACAAAUAAAAUAAAAACAGGUCAGCUGGAAAUGUAUGUGUUGAUUUUUAUUUUAGUAUUUUUUUUCUGUGUGAUGCCUGUUUCUGUUUUCCCCAUAUCUGGAUCUUCACCCCUACUCUCUUCAGCUGGGAGCCUUGCUCCUCCACUGUAACAACUCUGGCCAGUGACGAAACCCAACGGUCCUUUGGCAGUGCCCAUCUUAUCCCUCAGCAGCUCUGCAGAAGCAGACCUCCUCUCCUUCUUAAAGCACUUUCCUCUUUGGGGUUCAGGGCACUGUCCCCUGGCCUCCUGCACUGGCUGUCCCUCCAUUUACAUUUUCCUUCCCUUCCCCACCUCUGAGCCUCCCAUUUACACUUCCUGUCUAGGAGACCUUCUGUCCCUGCACACUCAGGAAUGCUAAUGACCCUCCCAAACUUGUAUUUCCAGCCAGAACCUUCCUCCUGAGAAGGGUCCCACCACCUGCUUAAUGCCACCACGUGACAGGGAGAAAGAAUCUCAGCCUUAGCAUAUUUAAGACCAAGCUCUGGAUGUUCCUACCUGGAACUGUGUGCAUCACCAAGUUUUCAACACCUCAGUUACCAUAUCCAAAUACCCUUCUCUUCUAUCCAGCAAAUCACCAAGUCCCAUAAGCUGGAACAUAGCUACACAUCUUGAGGUUGAUCGAUCCCAACCAUCCUGGGAACUACUGCCUCACCCCCUCUUGGAUGACCCCAAGUGCUUCCUAACUGGCCUUCCCAGUCCUGCUCCUGUUUCUGUGUCUUCCCUCCACACAGUGCUCCAUGAGGGUGUUCUUUCUAGCAAUGGGAAUUUGACCACACUCCCUAGCUACAGAAUCUUCAUCUCAUGGCCUGCAAAGACCCCUCUCUAAAUCUCUGAACUUCUGCCCACUGAUUUCCAUCUAGCUGCUUUAGGCUUUUUUUGCUCACCCUCGCCUCCAAAUACCAAACCUGUUCCUGCCCCAGUGUCUUUGCACUUGCUGUUCUUCUACCCCUAGACUUUCACAAGUUAUUUUUCUGUACUACACGUGAGAUUCCCUUGCAUUAUUCACGUUCUUUUUGCUUCUUUCAGGUGUCUGCUCAGUUAUCAUUCUUCACUGAGGCCUGUUCUGACUACUUUAGCUAAAAUAUCUGUCCUCCUGUCCACACUGUUACUCUACUGCAUUAUUUGAAUCUAAUUUUCAUAAAGGACAAGAAUUUUCAUGUGCUUUGUUCACUGCUGUGUCCCCAGAGCCUAGAACAGUGCCACAGAGAGAUGAUGAAAAGGAUUAGAGAGACGAAACAGAAGGAAGAGGAGAGAUCUGAAACAUGAAUGGGACGCAACAUGCCACGGCUGCUUUGCAGGUGAAGGAAGAGUCCACGAGCUAAGAGAGGCAGGUGGAAAAUGCAAGAAGACGAUUCCCCUUGAGCUUCCAGCAAGGAACCUGCACACCUUGAUUCUAACCCAGGGAAUGCAUGUCGGACUUCCGAGCUCCAGAUUGUCAGAUAAUACAUUGAGGUGGUGAAGCCACUAAGCGUGUGAUCAUGUGUUAGGGGCUAAUAGAAUACCAGCACACCUGUGUUGGAGUUGUAAUUUUUAGUUUCUGGGGUUGCUGGGGCCAGGUGUCUGGCUAUGGGGGCAGAAGGGUUCUGUGGGGUAGUCUGUGGCAGGUUGGGCUAUUCCAGACAGGCUACAUAUUUGGUGGGGCCCUUGAUUAAGAUGUUGGAAAACAAUGCUAAGGUAUUAAAGUAUAAAGCCUUUUCUUUUUUUCUGCCACUUCUUUCCCAACUUGUCAUGAUGCUUUCUUAUUUGCUAUUUAAUAUCCUUGUAAGUAAAAAUAAAGGGUGAAGUUAUUCACAUGAA